CUAUACCUGCAGUCGAGCGGACAGAUGGGAGCUUGCUCCCUGAUGUUAGCGGCGGACGGGUGAGUAACACGUGGGUAACCUGCCUGUAAGACUGGGAUAACUCCGGGAAACCGGGGCUAAUACCGGAUGGUUGUCUGAACCGCAUGGUUCAGACAUAAAAGGUGGCUUCGGCUACCACUUACAGAUGGACCCGCGGCGCAUUAGCUAGUUGGUGAGGUAACGGCUCACCAAGGCGACGAUGCGUAGCCGACCUGAGAGGGUGAUCGGCCACACUGGGACUGAGACACGGCCCAGACUCCUACGGGAGGCAGCAGUAGGGAAUCUUCCGCAAUGGACGAAAGUCUGACGGAGCAACGCCGCGUGAGUGAUGAAGGUUUUCGGAUCGUAAAGCUCUGUUGUUAGGGAAGAACAAGUGCCGUUCAAAUAGGGCGGCACCUUGACGGUACCUAACCAGAAAGCCACGGCUAACUACGUGCCAGCAGCCGCGGUAAUACGUAGGUGGCAAGCGUUGUCCGGAAUUAUUGGGCGUAAAGGGCUCGCAGGCGGUUUCUUAAGUCUGAUGUGAAAGCCCCCGGCUCAACCGGGGAGGGUCAUUGGAAACUGGGGAACUUGAGUGCAGAAGAGGAGAGUGGAAUUCCACGUGUAGCGGUGAAAUGCGUAGAGAUGUGGAGGAACACCAGUGGCGAAGGCGACUCUCUGGUCUGUAACUGACGCUGAGGAGCGAAAGCGUGGGGAGCGAACAGGAUUAGAUACCCUGGUAGUCCACGCCGUAAACGAUGAGUGCUAAGUGUUAGGGGGUUUCCGCCCCUUAGUGCUGCAGCUAACGCAUUAAGCACUCCGCCUGGGGAGUACGGUCGCAAGACUGAAACUCAAAGGAAUUGACGGGGGCCCGCACAAGCGGUGGAGCAUGUGGUUUAAUUCGAAGCAACGCGAAGAACCUUACCAGGUCUUGACAUCCUCUGACAAUCCUAGAAGAUAGGACGUCCCCUUCGGGGGCAAAGUGACAGGUGGUGCAUGGUUGUCGUCAGCUCGUGUCGUGAAAUGUUGGGUUAAGUCC
rnacentral:rRNA from 1 species